rnacentral:rRNA from 1 species
UGCAAGUCUGGUGCCAGCAGCCGCGGUAAUUCCAGCUCCAAUAGCGUAUAUUAAAGUUGUUGCAGUUAAAAAGCUCGUAGUUGAACCUUGGGCUUGGUUGGCCGGUCCGCCUUUUUGGCGAGUACUGGACCCAACCGAGCCUUUCCUUCUGGCUAACCUUUCGCCCUUGUGGUGUUUGGCGAACCAGGACUUUUACUUUGAAAAAAUUAGAGUGUUCAAAGCAGGCCUUUGCUCGAAUAUAUUAGCAUGGAAUAAUAGAAUAGGACGUUAUGGUUCUAUUUUGUUGGUUUUUAGGACCAUCGUAAUGAUUAAUAGGGACGGUCGGGGGCAUCAGUAUUCAAUUGUCAGAGGUGAAAUUCUUGGAUUUAUUGAAGGCUAACUACUGCGAAAGCAUUUGCCAAA